CGGGUUUCUCAGGAACAGAUCAACACACAAUCGUGUCACUUUAAAAGCGGCAUUUCCUCUUGAGGUCUGGAACACCACACGGGUGCCGAUACCUGGAGGCCUCUUUCUUGUGGGGAGACUGAUCAAAUUCUGAAGCUGUCAAAGGCCUAGAGAAGUCACCCAUCAAUCAGGCAGCUGAUGCUCACUCCACAGCACUAACACAGAAGAUGGGAUAACGGUGGCCUCUGUGGGGCCUUAAGCUGCCCAUAUCACUGCAGGUCCUGUUGAUAGCCAGUCUCUCCUGACCCAACGGAUUCCACACCUGAAGCUGAACUAUUAAGAGCUGAAGAAAAUGGACGUAGGAGGACUCAAUCGCGAGGGAAAGAACUAAGAUGCUGCUGACAAAGAGCGAAGCAGAAAGGAGC